rnacentral:ncRNA from 1 species
GCGUGGAGCCAACCUUGAAAUACCACCCUUUAAUGUUUGAUGUUCUAACGUAGGACCCGUUAUCCGGGUUGCGGACAGUGUCUGGUGGGUAGUUUGACUGGGGCGGUCUCCUCCUAAAGAGUAACGGAGGAGCACGAAGGUUAGCUAAUCCUGGUCGGACAUCAGGAGGUUAGUGCAAUGGCAUAAGCUAGCUUGACUGCGAGAGUGACGGCUCGAGCAGGUGCGAAAGCAGGUCA